rnacentral:sRNA from 1 species
GCCAGACAUGGUGGCAUAUGCCUAUAAUCCUACCUACUCAGGAGGCUGAGGUGGGGGGAUUGCAAGUUCAAGGCCAGCUUGAGCGACUUAGCAAGAUCCUAUCUCAA